rnacentral:rRNA from 1 species
UACGGGGGGGGCAAGCGUUGUUCGGAAUUACUGGGCGUAAAGCGCGUGUAGGCGGCUCUUCAAGUCGGGUGUGAAAUCUCGGGGCUUAACUCCGAAACUGCAUUCGAUACUGCCGUGCUUGAGGACUGGAGAGGAGACUGGAAUUUACGGUGUAGCGGUGAAAUGCGUAGAUAUCGUAAGGAAGACCAGUGGCGAAGGCGGGUCUCUGGACAGUUCCUGACGCUGAGGCACGAAGGCCAGGGGAGCAAACGGG